CAUAAGCUGGUGACGAUGGGAAUGGUUAUCAGGAAAGCUUUAGUGCUUUGAGAGGGGCCUACGGCCGAUUAGCUAGUUGGUGAGGUAAAGGCUCACCAAGGCGAUGAUCGGUAGCUGGUCUGAGAGGACGAUCAGCCACACGGGAACUGAGACACGGUCCCGACUCCUACGGGGGGCAGCAGUGAGGAAUAUUCGGCAAUGGGGGCAACCCUGACCGAGCAACGCCGCGUGGAGGAUGACGGUUUUCGGAUUGUAAAACUCCUUUUCUCAGGGAAGAGCGAGGACGGUACCUGGGGAAUAAGUCACGGCUAACUACGUGCCAGCAGCCGCGGUAAUACGUAGGUGGCAAGCGUUAUCCGGAAUUACUGGGCGUAAAGCGCACGCAGGUGGCGGCUUAAGUCUGACGUGAAAGCUCCUGGCUUAACUGGGAGAGGUCGUUGGAGACUGGGCGGCUUGAGGCGAGGAGAGGGGUGUAGAAUUCCCGGUGUAGUGGUGGAAUGCGUAGAGAUCGGG
rnacentral:rRNA from 1 species